CGGAACGGGUGGGUAACGCGUGAGGAACCUGCCUCAAAGAGGGGGACAACAGUUGGAAACGACUGCUAAUACCGCAUAAGCCCACGGCUCGGCAUCGAGCAGAGGGAAAAGGAGUGAUCCGCUUUGAGAUGGCCUCACGUCCGAUUAGCUAGUUGGUGAGGUAACGGCCCACCAAGGCGACGAUCGGUAGCCGGACUGAGAGGUUGAACGGCCACAUUGGGACUGAGACACGGCCCAG
rnacentral:rRNA from 1 species